rnacentral:tRNA from 1 species
GCCUAUAGCUCAGUUGGUUAGAGCAGCGGACUCAUAAUCCGUUGGUCCUAGGUUCAAGUCCUAGUGGGC